rnacentral:rRNA from 1 species
AUUGAACGCUGGCGGCAGGCCUAACACAUGCAAGUCGAACGAGUGGCGGACGGGUGAGUAAUGUCUGGGAAACUGCCUGAUGGAGGGGGUUAACUCCUGGAACCGGUGCUUAAUACCGCUUACCAUCAGAGUUGCCAAAAUGGGAUUAGCUUGUUGGUGGGGUAACGGCUAACCAAGGCGACGAUCCCUAGCUGGUCUGAGAGGAUGACCAGCCACACUGGAACUGAGACACGGUCCAGACUCCUACGGGAGGCAGCAGUGGGGAAUAUUGCACAAUGGGCGCAAGCCUGAUGCAGCCAUGCCGCGUGUAUGAAGAAGGCCUUCGGGUUGUAAAGUACUUUCAGCGGGGAGGCGUUACCCGCAGAAGAAGCACCGGCUAACUCCGUGCCAGCAGCCGCGGUAAUUC